UACGGAGGGUGCAAGCGUUGUCCGGAUUUAUUGGGUUUAAAGGGUGCGUAGGCGGCACUGUAAGUCAGUGUUUAAAUAUUGCGGCUCAACCGUAAAAAUGGCAUUGAUACUGCAGGGCUUGAGUACAGUUGAGGUAGGCAGAAUUGACGGUGUAGCGGUGAAAUGCAUAGAUAUCGUAAGGAAGACCAGUGGCGAAGGCGAAUCUCUGGACAGUUACUGACACUGAGGCACGAAGGCCAGGGGAGCAAACGGG
rnacentral:rRNA from 1 species